GGAACAUUCACAAUUUGUCAAAGUAAUGGAAAGUCAGAUCAACUGACUCCUUGUGGUGACGGAUUUCACAACUAGAACAGUCCCUUCUCAUCCGCGGAUUAUGUCGAAGUCUCUGAACACGCUGACUGGGUGUGCCAAAAACAAAACCCCUUAUCCGAUUCGGACAUUCCACAUGUGAUUUGGAAGCAACAGGAGUUCAUUGUUAGAAAGGGCAAGUCCAUCGCACUUUUGGCUGAAGUUCACUCGUCCACAAAGGUGGUCAGGGUUGCUUUACUACACGAAAAUGUGAAAUUUCCCCUGUCAGAUCCGAAAAUGUCAAGUGACGUCUUUCCGCACUACGAUCACAGCUACACCGUGCACUUCGCGCUCAGAAACGUCACGACAUCAGAUGGUGGCCGGUACUUCAGUGUGGCCACCAACAAACAGACUAGUGGAUGGAGUGGUAUAACUCGCCUGGCAGUUCUGAAUGGAACUGAAGGAACCACCACAGGCUCCCCCCGUCUCAGGUA